GGAGGCUAGUUGAGUUUUAAGAGUUAGAACUCUUGAAGCAAGAUGAAGGAGGAGCGCUAUCUUUGAUUCGAUUUCUAAGUAGAUCACCAUUGGAGGACAAACACUUGGAUGCCUUAUAGAAAUAAUUCUCCACCAAAUCAGAAUUCAAAAAGUAUGCUUUCUAAUAUUUCUUAUAGAUUUAUGCUUUGAUUGUUGUUAUCAAAGAUUUUUGGGCAUUAGGGUUUCGAUG
rnacentral:lncRNA from 1 species